rnacentral:rRNA from 1 species
GACGAACGCUGGCGGCGUGCUUAACACAUGCAAGUCGAACGGAAAGGCCCUGCUUGCAGGGUACUCGAGUGGCGAACGGGUGAGUAACACGUGGGUGAUCUGCCCUGCACUUCGGGAUAAGCCUGGGAAACUGGGUCUAAUACCGGAUAUGACCUUCCAUGUAGUGUGGGGGGUGGAAAGAUUUAUCGGUGUGGGAUGAGCCCGCGGCCCAUCAGCUUGUUGGUGGGGUAAUGGCCUACCAAGGCGUCGACGGGUAGCCGGCCUGAGAGGGUGGACGGCCACAUUGGGACUGAGAUACGGCCCAGACUCCUACGGGAGGCAGCAGUGGGGAAUAUUGCACAAUGGGCGGAAGCCUGAUGCAGCGACGCCGCGUGGGGGAUGACGGCCUUCGGGUUGUAAACCUCUUUCGACAGGGACGAAGCUUCGGUGACGGUACCUGUAUAAGAAGCACCGGCUAACUACGUG